rnacentral:rRNA from 1 species
AUUGAACGCUGGCGGCAGGCCUAACACAUGCAAGUCGAGCGAGCGGCGGACGGGUGAGUAAUGUAUGGGGACUGCCUGAUGGAGGGGGAUAACUACUGGAAACGGUGGCUAAUACCGCAUACUAUCGGAUAACCCAUAUGGGAUUAGCUCGUAGGUGAGGUAAAGGCUCACCUAGGCGACGAUCCCUAGCUGGUCUGCGAGGAUGAUCAGCCACACUGGGACUGAGACACGGCCCAGACUCCUACGGAGGCAGCAGUGGGGAAUAUUGCACAAUGGGCGCAAGCCUGAUGCAGCCAUGCCGCGUGUAUGAAGAAGGCCUUCGGGUUGUAAAGUACUUUCAGUGGGGAGGCGUUACCGACAGAAGAAGCACCGGCUAACUCCGUGCCAGCAGCCGCGGUAAUUC